UACGGAGGGUGCGAGCGUUGUCCGGAAUCAUUGGGCGUAAAGGGCGCGUAGGUGGCGCGGUAAGCGUGCGGUGAAAGCCUGGGGCUCAACCCCGGGUCGGCCGUGCGAACUGCUGGGCUUGAGCACUGUAGAGGCAGGCGGAAUUCCGGGUGUAGCGGUGGAAUGCGUAGAGAUCCGGAAGAACACCGGUGGCGAAGGCAGCCCCCUGGGUCAAGAUUGACGCUCAUGCACGAAAGCGUGGGGAGCAAACAGG
rnacentral:rRNA from 1 species